rnacentral:pre_miRNA from 1 species
AGUGGGAUAGCUGGGUCAAAUGGUGGUUCCAUCGCAAGUUUUCCAAGGAAUCUCCAUAAUAUUUUUCAUAUUGGCUUCACCAAUUUGCAGUCCCACCAGCAAU